rnacentral:rRNA from 1 species
UACGUAGGGGGCAAGCGUUGUCCGGAAUCACUGGGCGUAAAGCGCGCGCAGGCGGCGAUCUACGUCUGGGGUGAAAGCCCGGAGCUCAACUCUGGGACUGCCUUGGAUACGGGAUCGCUUGAGGAUUGGAGAGGCAAGGGGAAUUCCACGUGUAGCGGUGAAAUGCGUAGAGAUGUGGAGGAACACCUGUGGCGAAGGCGCCUUGCUGGCCAAUUUCUGACGCUGAGGCGCGGAAGCGUGGGGAGCAAACAGG